UACGUAGGGGGCAAGCGUUGUCCGGAUUUACUGGGCGUAAAGGGCGCGUAGGCGGCCACUGCAAGUCGGUUGUGAAAUCUCCGGGCUUAACCCGGAAAGGUCAAUCGAUACUGCAGGGCUAGAGUGCGGAAGGGGCAACUGGAAUUCUCGGUGUAGCGGUGAAAUGCGUAGAUAUCGAGAGGAACACCUGCGGCGAAGGCGGGUUGCUGGGCCGACACUGACGCUGAAGUGCGAAAGCUAGGGGAGCGAACGGG
rnacentral:rRNA from 1 species